rnacentral:rRNA from 1 species
GAGGAAUGCAUCGGAAUCUGCCCAGUCGUGGGGGAUAACCCGGGGGAAACCCGGACUAAUACCGCAUACGACCUUCGGGUGAAAGCGGGGGACCCUUCGGGGCCUCGCGCGAUUGGAUGAGCCGAUGCCGGAUUAGCUAGUUGGCGGGGUAAUGGCCCACCAAGGCGACGAUCCGUAGCUGGUCUGAGAGGAUGAUCAGCCACACUGGGACUGAGACACGGCCCAGACUCCUACGGGAGGCAGCAGUGGGGAAUAUUGGACAAUCGGGGGCAACCCUGAUCCAGCAAUGCCGCGUGUGUGAAGAAGGCCUUCGGGUUGUAAAGCACUUUUAUCGGGGAACGAAACAUUGUCGGCCAAUACCCGGCAAGACUGACGGUACCCGAGGAAUAAGCACCGGCUAACUCCGUGCCAGCAGCCGCGGUAA